ACUAAGCGUACACGGUGGAUGCCCUGGCAGUCAGAGGCGAUGAAGGACGUGCUAAUCUGCGAUAAGCGUCGGUAAGGUGAUAUGAACCGUUAUAACCGGCGAUUUCCGAAUGGGGAAACCCAGUGUGAUUCGUCACACUAUCAUUAACUGAAUCCAUAGGUUAAUGAGGCGAACCGGGGGAACUGAAACAUCUAAGUACCCCGAGGAAAAGAAAUCAACCGAGAUUCCCCCAGUAGCGGCGAGCGAACGGGGAGCAGCCCAGAGCCUGAAUCAGUGUGUGUGUUAGUGGAAGCGUCUGGAAAGGCGCGCGAUACAGGGUGACAGCCCCGUACACAAAAAUGCACAUGCUGUGAGCUCGAUGAGUAGGGCGGGACACGUGGUAUCCUGUCUGAAUAUGGGGGGACCAUCCUCCAAGGCUAAAUACUCCUGACUGACCGAUAGUGAACCAGUACCGUGAGGGAAAGGCGAAAAGAACCCCGGCGAGGGGAGUGAAAAAGAACCUGAAACCGUGUACGUACAAGCAGUGGGAGCACGCUUAGGCGUGUGACUGCGUACCUUUUGUAUAAUGGGUCAGCGACUUAUAUUCUGUAGCAAGGUUAACCGAAUAGGGGAGCCGAAGGGAAACCGAGUCUUAACUGGGCGUUAAGUUGCAGGGUAUAGACCCGAAACCCGGUGAUCUAGCCAUGGGCAGGUUGAAGGUUGGGUAACACUAACUGGAGGACCGAACCGACUAAUGUUGAAAAAUUAGCGGAUGACUUGUGGCUGGGGGUGAAAGGCCAAUCAAACCGGGAGAUAGCUGGUUCUCCCCGAAAGCUAUUUAGGUAGCGCCUCGUGAAUUCAUCUCCGGGGGUAGAGCACUGUUUCGGCAAGGGGGUCAUCCCGACUUACCAACCCGAUGCAAACUACGAAUACCGGAGAAUGUUAUCACGGGAGACACACGGCGGGUGCUAACGUCCGUCGUGAAGAGGGAAACAACCCAGACCGCCAGCUAAGGUCCCAAAGUCAUGGUUAAGUGGGAAACGAUGUGGGAAGGCCCAGACAGCCAGGAUGUUGGCUUAGAAGCAGCCAUCAUUUAAAGAAAGCGUAAUAGCUCACUGGUCGAGUCGGCCUGCGCGGAAGAUGUAACGGGGCUAAACCAUGCACCGAAGCUGCGGCAGCGACGCUGAUGCGUUGUUGGGUAGGGGAGCGUUCUGUAAGCCUGCGAAGGUGUGCUGUGAGGCAUGCUGGAGGUAUCAGAAGUGCGAAUGCUGACAUAAGUAACGAUAAAGCGGGUGAAAAGCCCGCUCGCCGGAAGACCAAGGGUUCCUGUCCAACGUUAAUCGGGGCAGGGUGAGUCGACCCCUAAGGCGAGGCCGAAAGGCGUAGUCGAUGGGAAACAGGUUAAUAUUCCUGUACUUGGUGUUACUGCGAAGGGGGGACGGAGAAGGCUAUGUUGGCCGGGCGACGGUUGUCCCGGUUUAAGCGUGUAGGCUGGUUUUCCAGGCAAAUCCGGAAAAUCAAGGCUGAGGCGUGAUGACGAGGCACUACGGUGCUGAAGCAACAAAUGCCCUGCUUCCAGGAAAAGCCUCUAAGCAUCAGGUAACAUCAAAUCGUACCCCAAACCGACACAGGUGGUCAGGUAGAGAAUACCAAGGCGCUUGAGAGAACUCGGGUGAAGGAACUAGGCAAAAUGGUGCCGUAACUUCGGGAGAAGGCACGCUGAUAUGUAGGUGAAGUCCCUCGCGGAUGGAGCUGAAAUCAGUCGAAGAUACCAGCUGGCUGCAACUGUUUAUUAAAAACACAGCACUGUGCAAACACGAAAGUGGACGUAUACGGUGUGACGCCUGCCCGGUGCCGGAAGGUUAAUUGAUGGGGUUAGCGCAAGCGAAGCUCUUGAUCGAAGCCCCGGUAAACGGCGGCCGUAACUAUAACGGUCCUAAGGUAGCGAAAUUCCUUGUCGGGUAAGUUCCGACCUGCACGAAUGGCGUAAUGAUGGCCAGGCUGUCUCCACCCGAGACUCAGUGAAAUUGAACUCGCUGUGAAGAUGCAGUGUACCCGCGGCAAGACGGAAAGACCCCGUGAACCUUUACUAUAGCUUGACACUGAACAUUGAGCCUUGAUGUGUAGGAUAGGUGGGAGGCUUUGAAGUGUGGACGCCAGUCUGCAUGGAGCCGACCUUGAAAUACCACCCUUUAAUGUUUGAUGUUCUAACGUGGACCCGUAAUCCGGGUUGCGGACAGUGUCUGGUGGGUAGUUUGACUGGGGCGGUCUCCUCCUAAAGAGUAACGGAGGAGCACGAAGGUUGGCUAAUCCUGGUCGGACAUCAGGAGGUUAGUGCAAUGGCAUAAGCCAGCUUGACUGCGAGCGUGACGGCGCGAGCAGGUGCGAAAGCAGGUCAUAGUGAUCCGGUGGUUCUGAAUGGAAGGGCCAUCGCUCAACGGAUAAAAGGUACUCCGGGGAUAACAGGCUGAUACCGCCCAAGAGUUCAUAUCGACGGCGGUGUUUGGCACCUCGAUGUCGGCUCAUCACAUCCUGGGGCUGAAGUAGGUCCCAAGGGUAUGGCUGUUCGCCAUUUAAAGUGGUACGCGAGCUGGGUUUAGAACGUCGUGAGACAGUUCGGUCCCUAUCUGCCGUGGGCGCUGGAGAAUUGAGGGGGGCUGCUCCUAGUACGAGAGGACCGGAGUGGACGCAUCACUGGUGUUCGGGUUGUCAUGCCAAUGGCACUGCCCGGUAGCUAAAUGCGGAAGAGAUAAGUGCUGAAAGCAUCUAAGCACGAAACUUGCCCCGAGAUGAGUUCUCCCUGACUCCUUGAGAGUCCUGAAGGAACGUUGAAGACGACGACGUUGAUAGGCCGGGUGUGUAAGCGCAGCGAUGCGUUGAGCUAACCGGUACUAAUGAACCGUGAGGCUUAACC
rnacentral:rRNA from 1 species